rnacentral:rRNA from 1 species
AUGAACGCUGGCGGCGUGCCUAAUACAUGCAAGUCGAGCGAACAGACGAGGAGCUUGCUCCUCUGACGUUAGCGGCGGACGGGUGAGUAACACGUGGAUAACCUACCUAUAAGACUGGGAUAACUUCGGGAAACCGGAGCUAAUACCGGAUAAUAUAUUGAACCGCAUGGUUCAAUAGUGAAAGACGGUUUUGCUGUCACUUAUAGAUGGAUCCGCGCCGCAUUAGCUAGUUGGUAAGGUAACGGCUUACCAAGGCAACGAUGCGUAGCCGACCUGAGAGGGUGAUCGGCCACACUGGACCUUCGACACGGUCCAGACUCCUACGGGAGGCAGCAGUAGGGAAUCUUCCGCAAUGGGCGAAAGCCUGACGGAGCAACGCCGCGUGAGUGAUGAAGGUCUUCGGAUCGUAAAACUCUGUUAUUAGGGAAGAACAAAUGUGUAAGUAACUAUGCACGUCUUGACGGUACCUAAUCAGAAAGCCACGGCUAACUACGUG